UUUUCCUUACUCAGCAGCCACAAUACGCACGGUUUCCUUUCUCCUUUUCCAUGAAAGGAAGGAAACAGAAGCAGAAAGUGAAAUUGAGGGAGAAGGAAGAAGGUUCGCUGGCGUGGAGGGGGAAGGAGGCUCACCGCGCCGCCGUCGCCUCGUUUAGCUGCCGCCUUGCCGCCGCCAUGGCGCACUGAAGGGAGAGGGAGAGUGAUCAGGCAGAGAGAGGAGACCGAGGGCGAGGGAGCGCGCCAAGGAGAAGAAGAGGCGUGGCUUGGUCGCCGUCCCUAGACGCCGUCGCGUCAGGCGCAGGGGUGACCACCGUCGCUGCAGAGAGGCCGCACUGCCACCGCCGAAUCCUCGCCGCCAGCUUCGUCGGAUCGGGUCGUCAAACCCGUCCUUUCCGUGUCGUUGAGGUCGCAAGCAGGAGCGGGAGAAGAAGAUGUAAGCCAAGGCCGAAGCAGAGGAGGCGCCGUGCCUGGUAGCCGCCGUCCCGUCACCGUCGUCUACCUCCGUCUCUGUUGAUCUGCAACUCUGCGGUGCUUAGUUAGAGCUUCUGCUACUGUCGCCGGAGCUUCUAUGGCCACCGGAAGCUGCUGCUGCCCAACCAGCUGCAACUGGGGUUGUCUCCUGUCGUGUAUGGCUGCAGAAGAAGUUGAUGUGGCCGCCGGAACCACCGUCGGAGCUACUGGUUACUUCUGCCGUCGCCGGAAAGUAUGCCGUUGAUCCACCGGAGCUUCUGGCCGCCGCUGGAGCUGUUACCGGGGCCGGUUCGGAAUCGCAGCUGCCUCAUUGUAUUAUUCCGUGUUGCUAUGGUUAUUGCGAAAGUGGCUGGGAGCUGAGGUUUUGGUUGCCGUCAGUUCGGGUUGAGGCGGAGAGGACUCUGUGAGAAAUUUUGGUUAUGGAAUUUGCGUUUUGAGGAUUUGGACGCAGAAGUUAAGAAGAGUUUAAUUAUUUGUUAUUGAGAUGCUCUGUAUUGUUUUAGUUAUGGUUUAUCGUACCCUCGCCUUUAUCUUAUUAUAUUCUGUAAGAGGGAUAGGAAUUGUAUUGGCUAAUGUCUGUAAUAUUAUUUAUAUAUAUGUACGUAUAUAUAUGGAUGUACUCUUUAUGAGUUUCUGUAAGUUGUAUGGUGUGUAUGGACGUACGUUGUAUGGCGAAAGUAUUUUUGGGAAUGGUAUUGCGGUUUAAAGUUUUUAAACAGGCUCAUAUUUUAGUAUUAAAUAGUAUAAGUGUCGUCGUAAUGUCCGAGCUAUCAGAGUUGCGCAGCCGGAAGCGUGAGCUUUGGUAGCUAGGGUGUUACAUUAUGGUAUCAGAGCAGUUCUUCCUGUAGAGCCUGAGGAAUGGACUGACUAUGCUUCAAUUGCAUGCUCUGAGCGUUUGUCAUGUAUUAGGUCUUGUCGAAUGAUGAGAAUUAGAGCUUUAUGCACAUGACGGUCUAUUGAUUAACGCUGUUAGUCUUGCAUUGCAUAAUUCUUGGUAUUAAGUUUGGCCGGCUUAAUACUAGUGAAUUAUGUAUAUGAGAGCACUAAUGGGUUAUCAUAGAUAGUAUACGAGUUUUGGAGUAAAGCAAAUCGCGGGUUUUGGGAACGCUAGAAACUAUUUCUCGAGGCUAUUCAGUUGUGUAUCUUGAAUUCUGUUCGAGUCGACCUGUUCUUUCAUGUUCUAACUUGAAGUUCUUGUCUGCUAAUCCUUUUGAAAAGUAGUUUGAUUUUUCAACUCUAUUCCUCUAUCCAUAUGCAUUCUUGUUUGACCUUAAGUGCAUAUGCUGGUUUAAGAUCCUUGUUGCAUCUAUCUUUCUCUGUUUGAGUUCUUCUUGAUUCAAGUAUUCUUUGAUAUAACCUUGAACCUGUCUUAAUGUGCUGUGACUUUUAACUCUGGGUUCUGAGUCCAUUCUUUGAGAAAUUGUUGAUUCAGUUUUUCUCUUACUUGACAGUGAUCACAGCCAAUUUUGAGAUUUUAUAAAUUGCCGUUGAUUAGAUAUAUACUUUUCUAUAUAUGAGACUCUGAAAUUAUUUAUACGGUUUAACAACUAUUUCCUUCUAAUAUCUUGCCUGUACUUUUGCUGGUUUACAUAAUUGCACUUACUUUAAAAGUAAAUUUGACUUUCUAGUAAUUUUACUAUAGUUCCAAUGGACAUCUUUAAUUGAUUGUGUAUUUGGAUAUAUUUCGAAAUUCUGGAAAGAAAGGAUUUCUCGCUUUUAUCCCGGUUGAGUUUCGUUUGAUAAACUUUACUUAAUUCAUUUUGAAUUGAGUUUGAUUCAGCAUGCUAUAGGGUUUAUGCCAUUAUUGUUCUUUUGAAAAUGUUGGACUCAUAGCUUUCUUCUUAUGAACGGACUCGUUUCUUCUUAAGCUUUUCAUCUCUAUGAAUGUCAUACGUAAUUCUGUUUUUAACUAAUCUUUUACAUCUUGUGAAAUUAUCAUUAAUCUUGGUUUGUCCUUUCUUGUGAAUCUCAUCCGUAUGUGAGUCAGUUUGAUUUGUUUCAAAUGAGUGCAUUGUUUAUUCUCUCAUUUUCUCUACAAGAGUUUUUAGUUAAAGAUUUAUCCUUGAGAAAUUACUAAUGAUUGAGUUGUCUUUUCCUUAUGACUUUUGUAUUCUUUUGGAUCAAUCGAAAGCUUGUUUGAUGACUCAUGCCUAGUGAAUCUUGUUUGAACAACUUUGGUUUAAGAUCCUUUUUUGUCUGGCUUGACUCCUUUCCAAGUACAUCCUAAUAUCCUUGAAUAUCCUUUUGGAAAUGGUGAUUUUAAGUAUACUUUUGGAGUCUUGUUUUAAACUUUUAAGGAAGUUUUGAAUUCGCUUUGAGUAAAUUCUAAACGGAAUUUAUUUUCUGUUGCAUGAUUAAGAUUGAAACCAUUGUUCAAUUUUGACGAAAUUAAUUUAAAGUUGGCAUGCGCUAUUUUAAAUGAAGUUCUGAAAAGUUUCCUUGCUUAUUGAAAACCGGUUCGUUUGUAACGCACCACUCAUCUCCUUUAUCAAAUUGUAAGCAAAUUGGUGUCUCGGAGUUUCUUUUCUAAAAAGAGUUUAACUUCCUCUUUCAGUCUUGCUAUGAAUGUUAUACACGCUUGUUUAAAUAUGAGCUUUGGAAAUUUUUGAACAAGCAUUUGAUUUCUUUUGAGUUUUAUGAAUUACUUUUGGUCGAGUUGUGCACCUAACUAUCUUUCUAAAAUAUUUGAGGAAAUACUUUUGCUCUUAGCCAAAACCUGUGUACAGUUUGUUUUGAAAUUCUACAUGAUCUGUUUCAACAUGAAAUUGUAUUAAAGCAAAGCCACGUUUAUGUUUUUGUUACUCUUUUGAAGGAUGUUUGUUGCUUAACCUUCUUUUAAACUGCGAGGUGACUUUCUUGCAAGUUUUUGAUUCUUUUAAAAACAAUGUAUUCGAAAGUAUUUGUAAUCGUGCUCUUGAGUUCUGUGAGCUUUGUAUUGGGUUUGAAAUAUUCUCUUCUAUAAACCUCAUACUUCAUCGACUCAGCUUGAAUUUGUUUCAAACCAAUGCGCUGAUUCUCCUUCUUAUUGAUCCUAUUGGAUUUCCUUGAUCCAAGGGUUAUCUUGAAGUUGUCAAUUGAAUUGAGUCUAGCAAACUUCAUUGCUUGAGUGUCCUUGUUUAUUUGGAAUUGGAUACAUUCUCUCAAAUCUUUGAGUACUAUCUUUGACAUUUGACUCUCCUUUCUAAAUCUUGUAUCCUUCUGAGUAGACUCGAGAAUUGUUUUGAUAUCGCGUGCGACUUAUAGACGUAGUGACGCGAUGCGUUAGUUCUUUAAGACGUGAUAUGUGUAUAUGGAAGCUGAAACGGUAGGUGUGCAGCGUUACGAGUGGUGGGUGUUUUGAUCCUUGCGAACGGAUUUCUGGUUGUCAGGCUAAUGAUCGAAAUUGGGGUUUGUAAGGUGCUUGAUGGAGUUGGAAAGUUAAAACUUUGAGGUUGAUAUGAGAUUAGUGUGCGGAGGUUAAGCACGUCGUUUUAACUCCAUCCUGUUUAAUAGCCUUUGAUGCCUUGCCCUUCUAUCACAUGAUUGACCCAUGUUAUCUUUUGCAUUGAGCCUACCUUGAAACGUUUGCUUUACAAUCACACUCCUACCUUUACACCCUUACGCUUAUGACAAUCAAAGUAUUUGAAAAUCGUAUAUAUGAUUAUAUUUUGAGAUAUUUUUGCUUCUUCCUUAAAUGUGUUCAAAGGUGAACUGUUAUGGAAUUUCUUUAAUUUUGUAUCAAUUUUCGAGGGCGAAAAUUUUUAUAAGGUGGGUAGAAUGUAAGACCCAGAAUCUUUGAAAAGUCUUUUUAUGAUCAAGUCUCAAAUCAUAUAGUUAUUUAUAGCCUUAAUUUCAGAGACUAUUUUAUUAAGGAUAAUUAAGGCAAGUUUUGAUUUAUUGGAUUUGAGAUGAGUUAUGAUUAUCAUCCAAUUUUAUAAUUAUUGGAUUAUUUUCUAUAUUUGAAUUAUAAAGUUGAUAGUUAUGAAAUAAUAAGGAAUUUUGUAUGAUUUGGAUUAGAUAAGUAAUAUUUUAAAUAUUAAUACUACUAUUUUGGAAAAUGAAGAAAUUAAGUAUAUUAAUUCUAAUUAUUUGAUUUGAACAUUUUAUUGAAAAUAAAAUGUGAAAUUGUUGAGCAAAUAGUAUUUUAUAUAUUAUUAGUGUUGGAUUUAAUUUGGGUUUCAAUUACUAUAUUGUCCCUACUUUUAUUUGAAAUUACAAAAUUACCCCUAGACCUAUUUUAACUCUAAACCCUAAUUUUUGAAAAUGAAACCCUAACCCAGAAAAAUCCUAACCCGACCCAUUUUCCUCCAAGACCCAACCGUAGCACCAUAGUGUUUCCCUUACUCAGCAGCCACAAUACGCACGGUUUCCUUUCUCCUUUUCCAUGAAAGGAAGGAAACAGAAGCAGAAAGUGAAAUUGAGGGAGAAGGAAGAAGGUUCGCUGGCGUGGAGGGGGAAGGAGGCUCACCGCGCCGCCGUCGCCUCGUUUAGUUGCCGCCUUGCCGCCGCCAUGGCGCACUGAAGGGAGAGGGAGAGUGAUCAGGCAGAGAGAGGAGACCGAGGGCGAGGGAGCGCGCCAAGGAGAAGAAGAGGCGCGGCUUGGUCGCCGUCCCUAGACGCCGUCGCGUCAGGCGCAGGGGUGACCACCGUCGCUGCAGAGAGGCCGCACUGCCACCGCCGAAUCCUCGCCGCCAGCUUCGUCGGAUCGGGUCGUCGAACCCGUCCUUUCCGUGUCGUUGAGGUCGCAAGCAGGAGCGGGAGAAGAAGAUGUAAGCCAAGGCCGAAGCAGAGGAGGCGCCGUGCCUGGUAGCCGCUGUCCCGUCACCGUCGUCUACCUCCGUCUCUGUUGAUCUGCAACUCUGCGGUGCUUAGUUAGAGCUUCUGCUACUGUCGCCGGAGCUUCUAUGGCCACCGGAAGCUGCUGCUGCCCAACCAGCUGCAACUGGGGUUGUCUCCUGUCGUGUAUGGCUGCAGAAGAAGUUGAUGUGGCCGUCGGAACCACCGUCGGAGCUACUGGUUACUUCUGCCGUCGCCGGAAAGUAUGCCGGUAAGGGUUUUAAUUUGAGGUUUUGGUCAUUUUGGAUCUUGAGAAGGUUUUAAUGCUGCGCGGUUUUUAUAGUUGAUCCACCGGAGCUUCUGGCCGCCGCUGGAGCUGUUACCGGGGCCGGUUCGGAAUCGCAGCUGCCUCAUUGUAUUAUUCCGGUAAGAAAUUAUGUUUCGAAUAAUCUCGCGUUAGUAUUCUGUUGUGUUUGAUUAAUGAAUGAGUCUUGGUAAUGUGGGAUCGAGUCCUGAUUAUUAUAUGUUGCGAUUAGUGUUGCUAUGGUUAUUGCGAAAGUGGUUGGGAGCUGAGGUUUUGGUUGCCGUCAGUUCGGGUUGAGGCGGAGAGGACUCUGUGAGAAAUUUGGGUUAUGGAAUUUGCGUUUUGAGUAAUUCCCAAAAACCCUCUACUGAGAACCCUUUCGAGGAUGAUGUUCUCACCCCCCUACAUUUUUCCCCUUUCAGGAUUUGGACGCAGAAGUUAAGAAGAGUUUAAUUAUUUGUUAUUGAGAUGCUCUGUAUUGUUUUAGUUAUGGUUUAUCGUACCCUCGCCUUUAUCUUAUUAUAUUCUGUAAGAGGGAUAGGAAUUGUAUUGGCUAAUGUCUGUAAUAUUAUUUAUAUAUAUGUACGUAUAUAUAUGGAUGUACUCUUUAUGAGUUUCUGUAAGUUGUAUGGUGUGUAUGGACGUACGUUGUAUGGCGAAAGUAUUUUUGGGAAUGGUAUUGCGGUUUAAAGUUUUUAAACAGGCUCAUAUUUUAGUAUUAAAUAGUAUAAGUGUCGUCGUAAUGUCCGAGCUAUCAGAGUUGCGCAGCCGGAAGCGUGAGCUUUGGUAGCUAGGGUGUUACAUUAUAGGAUAUUAUAAAGAUAAUACAGAAAAUUAUAUAAAUUUUUUUAUUAAACAAAAUUUAAAUGAAACAAUAUUUAACUGAGUUAGAAAUUAUAUUAUUUCUUAAUAUAAAAUUAUAGCAAGGGAAUAAUUAUUACAGGUAGGGAAUAAUAAAAAAAUUCUUCCU